CAGCCGCCGCGGUAAUACCGGCGGCCCGAGUGGUGGCCGCUAUUAUUGGGCCUAAAGCGUCCGUAGCCGGGCCCGUAAGUCCCUGGCGAAAUCCCACGGCUCAACCGUGGGGCUUGCUGGGGAUACUGCGGGCCUUGGGACCGGGAGAGGCGGGGGGGACCCCUGGGGGAGGGGGGAAAUCCUAUAAUCCCCGGGGGGGCGCCAGUGGGGGAGGCGCCCCGCUGGAACGGGCCCGACGGUGAGGGACGAAGGCCAGGGGAGCAAACCGGAUUAGAUGCCCGGGUAGUCCUGGCUGUAAAGGAUGCGGGCUAGGUGUCGGGUGAGCUUCGAGCUCGCCCGGUGCCGUAGGGAAGCCGUUAAGCCCGCCGCCUGGGGAGUACGGCCGCAAGGCUGAAACUUAAAGGAAUUGGCGGG
rnacentral:rRNA from 1 species